rnacentral:rRNA from 1 species
AUUGAACGCUAGCGGGAUGCUUUACACAUGCAAGUCGAACGGCAGCGCGGACUUCGGUCUGGCGGCGAGGGGUGAACGGGUAAGUAAUGUAUCGGAACGUGCCCAGUAGCGGGGGAUAACUACGCGAAAGCGUAGCUAAUACCGCAUACGCCCUAAGGGGGAAAGCAGGGGAUCGUAAGACCUUGCACUAUUGGAGUGGCCGAUAUCGGAUUAGCUAGUUGGUGAGGUAACGGCUCACCAAGGCGACGAUCCGUAGCUGGUGUGAGUGGACGACCAGCGACACUGGGACUGAGAAACGGCGCAGACUCCUACGGGGGGAAGCAGUGGGGAAUUUUGGAGAAUGGGGGGAACCCUGCUCCAGCAGUGACGCGUGUGGGAUGAAGGACUUCGGGUGGUAAAGCACUUUUGGCAGGAAAGAAACGUCGCGGGCUAAUACCCCGUGGAACUGACGGUACCUGCAGAAUAAGCACCGGCUAACUACGUG